AGCAGUCGCCGCGGUAAUACAGAGGGUGCGAGCGUUAAUCGGAUUUACUGGGCGUAAAGCGCACGUAGGCGGACUUUUAAGUCAGGGGUGAAAUCCCGGGGCUCAACCCCGGAACUGCCUUUGAUACUGGGAGUCUUGAGUUCGAGAGAGGUGAGUGGAAUUGCGAGUGUAGAGGUGAAAUUCGUAGAUAUUCGCAGGAACACCAGUGGCGAAGGCGGCUCACUGGCUCGAUACUGACGCUGAGGUGCGAAAGCGUGGGGAGCAAACAGGAUUAGAGACCCCAGUAGUCCCUGUCUCUUAUAC
rnacentral:rRNA from 1 species